rnacentral:rRNA from 1 species
UACGUAGGGUGCAAGCGUUAUCCGGAAUUAUUGGGCGUAAAGCGCGCGCAGGCGGUCCUUUAAGUCUGAUGUGAAAGCCCACGGCUCAACCGUGGAGGGUCAUUGGAAACUGGGGGACUUGAGUGCAGAAGAGGAGAGUGGAAUUCCACGUGUAGCGGUGAAAUGCGUAGAGAUGUGGAGGAACACCAGUGGCGAAGGCGACUCUCUGGUCUGUAACUGACGCUGAGGCGCGAAAGCGUGGGGAGCAAACAGG